GCAAGCGUUGUUCGGAUUUACUGGGCGUAAAGGGCGCGUAGGCGGGCUGCCGCGUCCGGGGUGAAAUCCCACGGCUCAACCGUGGAACGGCCCCGGGUACGGGCGGCCUCGAGGGGGGUAGGGGCGUGCGGAACUGUGGGUGGAGCGGUGAAAUGCGUUGAUAUCCACAGGAACUCCGGUGGCGAAGGCGGCACGCUGGACCCCUUCUGACGCUGAGGCGCGAAAGCCAGGGGAGCGAACGGG
rnacentral:rRNA from 1 species